rnacentral:rRNA from 1 species
GACGAACGCUGGCGGCGUGCUUAACACAUGCAAGUCGAACGGAAAGGCCCUGCUUUUGUGGGGUGCUCGAGUGGCGAACGGGUGAGUAACACGUGAGUAACCUGCCCUUGACUUUGGGAUAACUUCAGGAAACUGGGGCUAAUACCGGAUAGGAGCUCCUGCUGCAUGGUGGGGGUUGGAAAGUUUCGGCGGUUGGGGAUGGACUCGCGGCUUAUCAGCUUGUUGGUGGGGUAGUGGCUUAGCAAGGCUUUGACGGGUAGCAGGCCUGAGAGGGUGACCGGCCACAUUGGGACUGAGAUACGGCACAGACUACUACGGGAGGCAGCAGUGGAGAAUAUUGCACAAUGGGCUGAAGCCUGAUGCAGCAACGCCGCGUGCGGUAUGACGGCCUUCGGUUUGUAAACCGCUUUCGCCUGUGACGAAGCGUUAGUGACGGUAAUGGGUAAAGAAGCACCGGCUAACUACGUG